rnacentral:rRNA from 1 species
AGAGUUUGAUCCUGGCUCAGGACGAACGCUGGCGGCGUGCCUAAUACAUGCAAGUCGAGCGGGGAUUAUGCUUGAUCCCUUCGGUGAGACGGCAUAUAUCCUAGCGGCGGACGGGUGAGUAACGCGUGGGUAAUCUACCUCGUAGUUCGGGAUAACAGGCCGAAAGGCUUGCUAAUACCGGAUGAGUUCAUGCUUAUGCAUAUAGGCAUGAAGAAAGGGCUAGCCCGCUAUGAGAUGAGCCCGCGUCCCAUUAGCUUGUUGGUGGGGUAAUGGCCUACCAAGGCAACGAUGGGUAGCCGGCCUGAGAGGGUGUACGGCCACACUGGGACUGAGACACGGCCCAGACUCCUACGGGGGGCAGCAGUAGGGAAUUUUCGGCAAUGGGCGAAAGCCUGACCGAGCGACGCCGCGUGAGGGACGAAGGCCUUCGGGUUGUAAACCUCUGUCUGGGGGGAUGAGAACGGACGGUACCCCCGGAGGAAGCCCCGGCUAACUACGUGCCAGCAGCCGCGGUAAU